rnacentral:lncRNA from 1 species
GGGAUUGCUAUGGUUCCUGACAGGGUUGGAUACUUGGAUUGCUGCUUUUCCGGUGGAGGAAAGGCUAUUGCCCUGUAGGGGAGGGAACAGUUGGGGGCGACGUGGCCGAUCUUUGUGAGAGAUUUUUUUUUUUCCGGUGGAGGAAAGGUGAUUGCUGUAGAGGACGGAACAGUUGGACGACGUGGCCGAUCUUGGUGAGAGAAAUUUUCAGGAUUUGGUCUCUAGAUAGAAGAGAUCAGAGAUAGAGAUAUAGAAACCGACUAUCUGCAGAAUAAGGAAAUCGAUCGACUUCCAACUAACCUAGAU